GAACAAGGCCUCUCCAUUCUCCCUCUGCAACAGAAGUGAUGAACCCUGGAUCUCUGUGGACAAAAGGAGCUGCUCCACUCAGAUAUUCAGUGUUUACCAGUUUGGUGUCAGUUAAGUCAUUUUGUUUCCAUGGGGUCUUUGUGGGUGAGUUUUAAAGACAUGAGCUUCAUAAGGAGCCUGAUGGUGAUGUACCAGGGAAGAAAAUUGUCUGACAGUGUCACCUAAAAUUCAGGAUAGCCCUGCUGAGAGAGGACAAGGAUGAUGUUCCUCUUGAAACCCUGUGUUGGUAGGGCUGUGUCCUUCCUGGAAGUGCUUUGGGAUACCCUGAGCAGAGAGCAUGCUGCUCUGACCCCUGACCAUCAGACCCCUCAGAGCUGAGCUUCAGCCAUAUUCCCCUGCAGAAAUUAAUUUUGGUGUGCAAGCAGAAGUAACCAUGAAGCAGGAGCUGGAAGUUGAAACUGUGCUCACAAGCCUGGCCCAGCCUGAUGUCAGAGGACAACCUCUGACAGCAGAAAUAAAAGCCUGUUGUAACAGCAAGAGUAAUGAUCUGGAUGCUGGUGGAAGGUUCCUGCAGCUGCACCAUCAGUGCAGAUCUACACCUGGAGCUGUUUGCAAGCAGGAUUUGUCCUGGGCCCAGUUUGGAGCUCAAGGCAGCUGGAGAAGCAGCGAUGCUUGCAGAGUUCCUAAGAUGUUUGCAAUGACAUAUGAGCCAGCACUGCUGUUCUUUUGCACAAACCCUGUUGGGCCAGGUGCUGCAUUGGUGCAGAGCAAAAAGCAGCCUUGAAGAGCUCUCAGGCUCACAAGGGUUGGUUGGUCAGAUGAAUGAUGCUGCCUCCUGCAGCUCCAGUUCCCCAUGGCUGUGCCCCAGGAGCUCAAGGCAUUAGGAGCAGAGCUCAACCAAGAGUCUGCGAUCAACAUGAGCUCCACCAUGAGUUAUAGCCAGGCUCAACAGCUUUAUCCUCUGCAUCUUGCUUCCCCCACACCCAAAGGAAGAAGGAAAAAAAAAUAAAAUCCCAUGAUCCCAAACAAAGGCAUGCUGGGCCAGACCAAAAAUAGUUUUGGAGAGAAGCAGGCUGAAAAACACUCAGGUAGCAGGAGAUAACAUCUGCCUGAAACAAGAGCCAUCUGGCACCAAGGAAAAAGGCACAUGGAAGUUUAUCCGCAACCAGUCAGCUCUCCAGAGAAGGAAAAACCCCUCCCCUUUCCAGCUAUCAGCACAGCCAAACCAGAAUUAACCAACAGAAAAAACAGGGACUGUUUCACACCAGAGCAUGACAGCAACCUGAGUCCUUCAACAUCCUUGUGAGGAGCCUGGUAGGAUGGCAGGGAAAACCAGGGUCUCCAACAGAUCAGAAAGCCCCAGAAUGCUGCCUUUGACUGAGGUCUCCAAUUUUCUUCUGUAAUUUAAAGAAAAUCAAUGGCAGAAACAUCUCUAAAGUCCUCUGAAGUACCUGACAAGUUUUGGAAUAAUACACAUUAGUGACUACUUUCAACUGGUUCCAUUUUUAAUAGACUUUCUUUACACAUGAUCCCUUCCACUGACCUUUAAUUAAAACCAUCCACUCAUUUGAUUUAUCAAAAUCCCUUUCUUGGAGAGAUGAAGUAUUUUGAACUAGAAUGCUUCAGCUAUGGAAGAAGCAACGAAAUAUCUCUUUUUGAUAAAAGAAGGCCUACACUGAUAAAACAAGUAAUUAAGUCAUUUCUCAGUCAAGAAAGAAAUUCCAUUUUAAGAGUUUGUGACCUCUGCUACCAGUUGUGCCUUUGUGGUGGUAGAACAUUUAAGACAUCUCAAUCUAAUCCCUCCACACCUUCCUGCCAGCUGGAAUCACAGGGGAUGCCUGGAUCCAGCGUGGCUUUCCCAGACUCUGUGGCUUUGGCCAGAGCAGCUCAACUCUGACACAGGAGAGCUAAAAUGCUCAAAGCUGGUGACAGGGAAAUUGCAGGGGACAGCACAACCCUGUUUACAGCACUCAGAGACUGAGAAACAGGAGACUGAGUUUUAACUCCGAGCUCCAGGACUUUUCAUCUUUUGUGAUCAUGGAGUAUAUUUAGCUCUGGUAUGUAGUUUGCUCCCAUCCGUGGGGAACAAGUUCUUCAUAAAAGUCGUAUUUAGAAAUGACCCGGUGUCCUUGCUACCAAAUUAUCAGCACAACAACUGUCUGGUUCCCUGGCUGGUGCCCUCAGUGCCGGGGCAGGAUGCCCAGGGCUGCAUUCAUCAUUCGAAUUACUGGGCAUGUGCUUAAUACUACGAGUUGGGGCCCAUAUGCCAACAGCUGCUCAAAGGAAACAUGAGAUCAAGCACAAGCUGGGCUGCUCUGGAAAUUCAGACGUGUGCACACUGGGACCCUGUGGCACCAGCCAGAGCAACACAGGUGAAUUUUGGAUCUGCCACUCCCCAGCUCCUGUGCCAAGGGGAAAGGACUCAGGUCUCUGCUGCCGAGGAGGCUGCUCUUGUGCUGGGGAGGAUGAAGAGGAAAUCCACCAGAGGCAAUGGAAUCACACAGAGAAGAUGGCACAACUCGAGCCAUGUGCUGUAAAGACAAAGCUAGAGCCAGCCCAGGCUGUCUUUUCAUCACACCCCAGCCUGUGCCCUGGGUGCCCAGGAAUGGCUCAGAUCCUUCAGCCAGAGCCUGUCCCUUGCAACAGGUCUGAGCCCAGCACAUCGUUCACAUAGCCAAGUGUGAGGUCACUGUAUCAGACCACGCUUUUGUAUUGUUUUACAGGUGGAACACGAGCAAAUUGGGCCACAAACCUAAACAAAUAGGCACACCAAACCCUUAGGUCUGACACCAGCAUUUGCCAUCUUGAAGGAGAUGUUCAAGCAAAUUCUCAAAGUAGUCUGAUCUGCUUAUAAAUACAUGUCUGUGCUUAAACACAAAAUAAAAUAAUAAAAAAUGAGACAGGGAUUUCUUUCUGACUGGCAAGCAUUUGGUCUGAACAGCAGUCCCCAUGCAUGAGAACCAGCAGCUGAAGCCAUUUGGAAAAUAGAUUUGGACAUUUCUUAGGAAAUGCCCCCUUUCCCCCCUCAAGCUUUCAUGUUCCUGGCACAGGGUAACACCAGGUGCCGGGUGCUCCAUCCACACGAGCCUGGCAGAGUGGGAUGAGAUCCUGCAGCCUCCAGCUCCGGGUAAGUGGGCAGUGGGAAGCUGGAGCAGGGGGAUGCCAGCUGACAGAGGCUGGGCACAGCACGCGCCCUUUUAUAAGCAUAACCACAGAAAAGAUGAAAGUUUGUUGCCUUUUAUUUUUAACCCAGUAGAGAAAUUUUAAGGAUAAACAGCUGCGAAGGAGGCUGGGCUAACACAAAGAGAGACUUUCUUCACUUCCUAACUGCAGCAGCAUCAAUGCAUGAAAUUCUAAACUCAAAGAGAUUUAACUCUUUCUGACGUUGCCGGAGACCAAGUGUGGGCCAGAGGCAGGGGCCACCAAAACAAGUAACUACACAUGGAUGGGGUCUCUGGAGCAAUGACAUCCAGUGUGCAGCUAUGGAAAGAGCUGGAUCCUGCCACAAGAGACAGCUUUAUGCUUGCAAGAGCUCAGUCACUUACUCAGUCACUGGUAGAUCUCCCACACAGAUAGCUCCUCCGCUGAGGCACAGCCACAGGAAUGCAUCUGCCAUAUGCUGCCCGUGUCCAGAGCAGCAAGCAAAGAGGAGAACCAGGGAAUCCCCACUCCCUGCACAGACUCAAACCUGCCUCCAGCUCCACAGUCCCAGAGGAGGGAACCACCAGGUGGGACCAAGCAGCUCUGCCACAUCACCUGAUCACAUGAAGCAUGGCAGCUGCAGGGACACACUGGCACUGCCAGCUGCCUCCAAGCAAAGCACAGUCUGCAAGCUCCAGGCUGAGCUCCAGGCCCAGUGCUGCUUCCCUAAACUCAGCAGCCGGAUCCCCAAGUCACCCCGACACAGACACAUCCUUUGCCUUGCAUUACUGUUAAGAUCUCUGGUUACUACAAGCUAGAAACUUCUUUUCCAAACAGGAUUUACUACUGACUCCGUGCUGUCUGCUGUGCAAGUGCCUCCUCUGCCAGGACAGCAGGAGGAAGGAGAAAGGCUCCUCGUGGUUUCUCUUUCUGUUCCGCACAGCCCUGGCAAUAUUUACAGCUGCAUUUAGGUGUCUGGGGCUGGAGGGGGAAGCCUUCAGUUUAAAAAUAAUCCUCUAUGGUGUUUGGGUAAUUUUCAUAGUUUCCAUUCAUUUCAGGUUUCACCAAAACCUGGGUUUUGUGGCUUGGUAGCUGGGACAUGAGUGGCUGCUCGCUCUUCGUUAACUGCCCAGGAGGUAACGGUUGUUCAUUCACUCCUGCCCCGCCAAGGCCAGACCAAGCACCCUGUGCCCCAUGACAAUCAUCUCUGGGAAACCACAAUGCCAACCCCUGGGCACAAACACUUUGCAGAGACAGGAGCUGCAGGAGGGAGAGCCAGGCAAUAUCUCACACCAGAGGCAAAGCAGCCGAGCCACUGAGCUUCCUUUGGGAAAGGUCAGGAUCCACUCGGCGUGGUGCAAACAGACAGCAGCAAUUCAGUGACAGACCCUGACAAACUGCUCAUCUACCCUCAUAUCCCACCGAGGGCCAAGGAAAUUGUGGGUUCAAGGGAAUGCAGGAGUGGAUUUUGUCCACGAAUGCAGGCUCUUAAUUUUGUUGGUCUGCUGAGGAGACAAAGAGGGAAUUGGCAGCCAAGCUCUGUUGCUCAACUGAGCACCUGAGGCUUUGCUCAGAAGCCACAGAGCAGCCCCAGUUGUGGUGCUCAGGUAAAGGUGGUGCUCAGGUAAACAAACAGAUUCUGCAGAACCCACAUUUCCAGUGAUUCUGCUGCAGCAAUGACUGAAUUCAAUGAAAUUCUUGUUUACUGAUGCUUGCAAAUAAUGAUAUAUAAUCCCCUGCCUCCAGCCCUCCCAUUCUCCUGGUUCCUGUCUCUUGGCAACUGAUAAAUAAUUUAUAAUGUUCUCCACUGUAUGUGCUAACUGCAGCUCUGCUGGUUUAAUGAUGAAACCAAUGCCUAGGAGCUGCAACAGGAACUGUCUAGAUCACAAGGAACAUGUAAUCAGUCGAUCCCACACUCCUCUGGAUGUGAAACCAUAAGCAAGCUGUUGGAAGAAUAAAAAAUGUUUCCAAGAGCUGUGGCUGUGGGGCAGGAAGGGCACCCAGAAAACUGCAGAUAAUCUGCAAGGUGCUCCUGCCAACACGAGGAGUUUUAACGGGCUUCACCAUUUUGCUCUUCUCUGUUCCCAUGCCUGGCAGGACUUGCCAGAGGCUGCUUUUAUUGGCAACUUCUCUCCUGCACUCCCAUGCAAAAGUCUCUGGGUUCGCAUCUCAAAGGUGCUGCUGCUUUGGGGGCUGUGAAAGCUCUUGCAGCUCCCAUGCAAGGAGAGCUAUGAGAAAGCAGCAUUUGGUCUGUGCAGACUAAUGCAGCUCUUGCCCCAAAAAAAGAGGAGACUCUUCAUUUGAUGGCAGAUGUUCUUCGAGGCUUUCCAGCAGAGCUGUAACCGCCUGCGAGAAGCGGCGUGUUUGAACCGCACACAGCACACGUACACUGGGUGUGCACUAUUGUGGCAACACAGCCUCUUACAUCCAUAAACUCAUCGGAAUGAGAUUAUCCAGGCAGUUGGCAACUGCGGCCAUAAGGGCAGAGGAAUGAAAGUUUUAUUGUUAGCAGGGGUUUUUCUUCUUUAAAAAAAGAAAAAAAAAGGAAAAAAAAAAAAAAAAGAAACAAAACACCCCCCAAAAAAUGAGCAGAGAGCAGGGAAGGGGUGAAGUAUUGCUGUUGACAAAGGCCAAAAUCCCAUCUAUUUAUAUUAGAGUCACACAAAAACCACACCAAGGCAGUGCUCAAAAGCUUUAAAAAAUGCACCUACUUUCUUAAUGCUCUUAGAAAAUAAUAAUAAAAAACCUUAUCAAUAUUCACUUUCUGAAAUGGUGUAAAAAAAGAGCUGCAUCAAUCAUUAAACAGUUAAAUGAGGGCAGUAUGACAGUCACUAUUGUUCUCGUGAAGCACACUUGUCUUUUGCCGAGCAGCUGCCAGAUCCUAUUAGAUGUAUAAAAAGAGGACUUUUCUAACCGAGUAGGGAUGGUAUAAGCUAUUGAAAACAGCAGACAAAAGCCCACUUUUGCAGACUAUUCAAGCCUUGUAUAACAUCUGUCCAAAAUCAAUUUUUGACCUAAUGUUACUUUCAUUAAGUAACAGACUUUGUUUCCACUGCAAUUUGUUUUCUAGGAUAAAACUGUAUCCUAAGCAUUAUUACGUGGGAAACGGCACAGAGGAAGCAGAGGAUCUUAUUUGAGAAACAUGAGAACAGAAUUUGCUUAAUUGUUUUGACACCUUAAGUACUAUAAUAGAGAAACUAUUUUCCAUUUAUUUGAAUUCCUGUGAAUUCUUGAAGUUGGCAAAUCAGCGAGCAAUGCAAUGGGUUUAUUAUGACUAAGAUUUACUGAGGAUAAAGAAGGAUCUUUGGGAAUUAUAUUAAAGCUGACAAAUGCACAAAACUUCUGAAAUCUCCACCAGAAAUAAAGUACUCUGAACAUUAACAACAGCUGUUGAAACUGUCCACUCUUGACGGCGAAGGCUUUUUUCACACACUUUAAAUAAUGAGGAAGUUGACUUGUGAAUCUGAUUUCCAACAGACCGUUAGGAAACGUUUC